UACGUAGGGGGCAAGCGUUGUCCGGAAUCAUUGGGCGUAAAGCGCGCGUAGGCGGCCCGAUAAGUCCGCUGUGAAAGUCAAAGGCUCAACCUUUGAAUGCCGGUGGAUACUGUCGGGCUAGAGUCCGGAAGAGGCGAGUGGAAUUCCUGGUGUAGCGGUGGAAUGCGCAGAUAUCAGGAGGAACACCAAUAGCGAAGGCAGCUCGCUGGGACGGUAUUGACGCUAAGGCGCGAAAGCGUGGGGAGCAAACAGG
rnacentral:rRNA from 1 species